AUUAGAUGUAACGAUAAAUCAAAGAUUCGUUUGACAUUCCUCGCACGCGUUACCGCAACAACGAGCUUUUCGCAAAGUGUUUCAUCGACGGACGUAAGGUACUUUACUAUAUUUUACGACCAUAUUAUCGUUUACUAUUCGUUAUGCUUUUGCUUGCGCGGACGGUUACGAUGGCCAACUACAUAGGUAUAUCCGCGCGGUAUCCUACCAUUUCUUUGCUCGAGAAACUAGAGCAGUUGCAAAAACUAUACAUAGAAAAGUAAUACCACGGGGUAAAACUUCGUUCGAAAAUGUUGUUUGUUACGCUUCUUUCCGUACGUGAAAAUUAUUCGUUGAAAAUUUGCCAAUUUGUAUGUUUGAUAUCGCUAAUGAAUUCUGGUCACCGUGAGAAAACGUCGGUUGGUUCGGUCCGGACUUAAUGGCGCCGUUAACUCACCCUGAUAUAGUUAUCCUAUCGGAAGAUCGACG
rnacentral:misc_RNA from 1 species